AUUGAACGCUGGCGGCAGGCCUAACACAUGCAAGUCGAGCGAGCGGCGGACGGGUGAGUAAUGUAUGGGGACUGCCCGAUCGAGGGGGAUAACUCCUGGAAACGGUGGCUAAUACCGAAUACUGUCGGAUAACCCAUAUGGGAUUAGCUAGUAGGUAAGGUAAUGGCUUACCUAGGCGACGCGCCCUAGCUGGUCUGAGAGGAUGAUCAGCCACACUGGGACUGAGACACGGCCCAGACUCCUACGGAGGCAGCAGUGGGGAAUAUUGCACAAUGGGCGCAAGCCUGAUGCAGCCAUGCCGCGUGUAUGAAGAAGGCCCUAGGGUUGUAAAGUACUUUCAGUCGGGAGGCGUUACCGACAGAAGAAGCACCGGCUAACUCCGUGCCAGCAGCCGCGGUAAUAC
rnacentral:rRNA from 1 species